ensembl:lncRNA
GAGAGGGCGGGGCGGCGGGGGAUUCUCUGGCUGGCUGGAGCAGCAAAAAUUACCAACUCGCAAAAUAAAACAAAAUAAAAACAAACCAACAAAUACGAAAACACCAGACAUUAUGAUACAAACUUACAAUUUGCACCGAUGUUUUUUCAAAAUUCUAUACGCGAAAAGUGAGCGCGAGAGCCCUCGGUGCGCCUGCUCUCUGCUGAAGUCAAAGUAAACUUUAUUGUCAUCUCCGCUACAUACAGUCCAGUAUAUAGAGAGACGAGACGACGAGGCUCCAGUUACAGCAGUGCAAAUAAACAAACAAUAAAUAUUUAAGAGUAAAAAAAUAAAUAUACACUUUAGGACUCGGGGUAAAGGGAUCAAUAACAAUUUAAAAUGUAUAUUUUAUAUUUUGUUGAUUUAAAGUCUCACACACAACCCGUUUUUAAAGUUUAAAAAAAGAGAAAAGAAGAGGAGGAGUGUAGCGACUUCCACAGUCGCUAGAGGCCGGGGACUGAGCCUGCCUAUUUGCCUAACGCGCUGUCAACUUUACGCAAUAAUGCGAGAGGUGGAAUUGCUUCCUUGUUUAUUAAAGUGCUUGAAAAGUUUACAGAGCAAUGUGAUCGGCUCGCGAUUCAAACUCUUAAAACAUCACAGGCUCUAAUGCAACAAGGGGAAACUCGUUGUGCUGCGGUCAACAAAAACUACGGCUACCCAGCCCUGCUCUGUCAAAAUCAAACCAGUGAAUGACAGACUGACAACGCCCUCUUAAUGUCACCGCUACCACCCACGUGACUCCCGUUACACAUCACCAUAGCAACCAAACAAAUGAAAACCCAGUGAUCAUUAAAAUUCAAUACAUUUAGUUAUGGCUCCUACAAGGAGAAACGAGCAAAAGACACAGGCCUUGUAGGAGAGUCUGAUUGGUCUGCAGUGAAAGACCCAGGAGAAAGCUGAGGAACAAGUCCAGGUGUCCAUUUGAACUCUAGUGAACUCCUGGAGAGCAGAGACCCCCUGCAAGGAUGUAACAACCUCCCCGCCAGUUGAAGAGGCCCCUAGUUCUGCCGAUGCACCAGAGGCCCCCUGCCCCAAGGCUGUGCAUGGACCCACCCACAACCCGGCAAUACACCAACCAGAAACCAAUCCCCCAAGACUCAGCCAGAGCCCCGGCCCGGAGGCGGAGCACCCCCAGAACCACAAGACCGCCCCAGAUCCACCCCAGGGCAGCUAGGCUACCAGGCCAGUAACCCACGUCUGCCAGCACAGACCCUCCCCCAGCCCUGCUACACGCAGCCACCAGGAAAACAUCACCCGGGGGACACCAGAGUCCAAGUGAAAGUAUCCUCCAGGUCCAGUGUGUGUGCUGUCUUUUGCUGACAUCGAAACACAUUUCUUCAGUCAGCAGCGUAAAUAAGCAACUUUGCAACUUCAAGGUGAAGAAGUGUGACAUAGUUUACAGAACAUCUAUUGAUUUCUGUUGAAAUAAACUUUUUAAAAUCUCUCCUGGAUAUGGUUGAGCUGUAUUCUUGCUAAACACUUCAGCAAAAGACACAGAGAUCCCAC